GGGGAUGUAGCUCAGUUGGUAGAGUGCUUGCCUCACAUGCAUAAGGCCCUGGGUUCAACCCCCAGCACCACCA
rnacentral:tRNA from 1 species